rnacentral:rRNA from 1 species
AGUGAACGCUGGCGGUAGGCCUAACACAUGCAAGUCGAACGGCAGCACAGGAGAGCUUGCUCUCUGGGUGGCGAGUGGCGGACGGGUGAGGAAUACAUCGGAAUCUACUCCGUCGUGGGGGAUAACGUAGGGAAACUUACGCUAAUACCGCAUAAGACCUACGGGUGAAAGCAGGGGAACUUCGGGCCUUGCGCGAUUGAAUGAGCCGAUGUCGGAUUAGCUAGUUGGCGGGGUAAAGGCCCACCAAGGCGACGAUCCGUAGCUGGUCUGAGAGGAUGAUCAGCCACACUGGAACUGAGACACGGUCCAGACUCCUACGGGAGGCAGCAGUGGGGAAUAUUGGACAAUGGGCGCAAGCCUGAUCCAGCCAUACCGCGUGGGUGAAGAAGGCCUUCGGGUUGUAAAGCCCUUUUGUUGGGAAAGAAAUCCAGCUGGCUAAUACCCGGUUGGGAUGACGGUACCCAAAGAAUAAGCACCGGCUAACUUCGUGCCAGCCGCCGCCGUAA